AUGACCAUGGAACGCGAGACGGAUCGCACGGCAAUGGAGUGCCUGCUGCGAUCGGUGCCGCCGGAAAUGGUGUCCACGCUCGCUGUGAAGGCCACGGCGAAGGACGCCUGGGGCAUGAUCAAGACGAUGCGGUGUUGGAGAUAUGCCCUAGAGGCAAUCAUGUAUGAUGAUAUUUCCUAUGUGUUUAUGAAUAAAGAUAGUCCUUGGACGUUAUCAAUGAUGUGUAUCAGCAAGUACGUGACUUGUGUGUGGAACUAUGCAUUGUAUGAUGACUGUCCUAAAAGGUCCCUAGUCGAAAGAGUUGUGUGUACACGCAGUCGUCUAGACUAG
rnacentral:rRNA from 1 species